CGAAGUUUCGAUCCUGGCGUCAGGAUGAACGCUAGCUACAGGCUUAACACAUGCAAGUCGAGGGAAACCGGAUGAGACGUAGCUUGCUCUCUUAGGCGUCGACCGGCGCACGGGUGAGUAACGCGUAUCCAACCUGCCCAAGUUACAGGGGAAUAACCUUGCGAAAGUAAGACUAAUGCCCCAUGGUAUUCUCAGCAGACAUCUAAUGAGGAUUAAAGAUUUAUCGGUAAUGGAUGGGGAUGCGUCUGAUUAGCUUGUUGGCGGGGUAACGGCCACCAAGGCAACGAUCAGUAGGGGUUCUGAGAGGAAGGUCCCCCACAUUGGAACUGAGGCACGGUCCAAACUCCUACGGGAGGCAGCAGUGAGGAAUAUUGGUCAAUGGGCGAGAGCCUGAACCAGCCAAGUAGCGUGCAGGAAGACGGCCCUAUGGGUUGUAAACUGCUUUUAUAGGGGAAUAAAGUGAUCUACGUGUAGUUUAUUGUAUGUACCCUAUGAAUAAGGACCGGCUAAUUCCGUG
rnacentral:rRNA from 1 species